rnacentral:rRNA from 1 species
CCUACGGGUGGCAGCAGUGAGGAAUAUUGGUCAAUGGACGAGAGUCUGAACCAGCCAAGUAGCGUGAAGGAUGACUGCCCUAUGGGUUGUAAACUUCUUUUAUAAAGGAAUAAAACGAGGCACGUGUGCCUGUUUGCAUUUACUGUAUGUAUAAGGCUCGGCUAACUCCGUGCCAGCAGCCGCGGUAAUACGGAGGAGCCGAGCGUUAUUCGGAUUGAUUGGGUUUAAAGGGAGCGUAGAUGGGUUGUUAAGUCAGUUGUGAAAGUUUGGGGCUCAACCGUAAAAUUGCAAUUGAUACUGGCAGUCUUGAGUACAGUAGAGGUAAGCGGAAUUCGUGGUGUAGCGGUGAAAUGCUUAGAUAUCACGAAGAACCCCGAUUGCGAAGGCAGCUUACUAAACUGUGACUGACAUUGAUGCUCGAAAGUGUGGGUAUCAAACAGGAUUAGAUACCCCUGUAGUC